ensembl:lncRNA
AUUAAAUGACACAUGUGGCCCAUACUUGUGGCUUGCGUUGUAUUCCCAUGUCCGGCACUGGCCUAGAUGUCCCAUCCUCGCUGCUGGGCCGUUUGGAAGCAGGUGUUCCCAGCUAGGAUGCUUCAGUGUUCAAGUAACAGGAACCUCAACUCAAAGUGGUGUAAAGAAUAAAGAAAUGUGUCAUCUCACAGAGCAACCAGUUCACGGCUGGGAGGCAGGGGUGUUGAUACACUGGCUGGGUGGUGGCCUGAGGAUCUGGCGCUUCUCCCUUCCCACUCUGCUCUCAAGGUGAAUGGAUGUACACCUCUGGCAGCCCCAGAGUCACAUGCAGACAUCUUCAACAUCCAAGGAAACACAAGGGGGCUUUUAUUAAAGUGAGGAAAUCCUUCCCAGAAGUCUCCCUGUUGGCCCCGAUCCCAUGUCUAAUUGGCCAGAACUGGGUCACGUAGCCCAUGCUCACCACUCAUUGGCUGCGUAACCGGACACUGGAUGGCUGGAGCGAUCUGGAGGGAAACAUCUGUUGGGGAGAGAAGAACCAGGACCAUGCAGGGAGGCAUGGCUAUUUUGCACCAAACAACCCCUGAGGUUCUUGGAUGGUCCACGGAGAGCGCAUGGGUCUUGAAGGCACCACGACACGCCGAUAUUGCAGCAGAGCUGACUUCGUUUGAAACACAGAAGAGAUGGUAUUAUAUUUGUAUCCCCAGGUGACUUAAUAAAUAAAUAAGCUUAAUAAAUACACAAGCAACUUUACACACAUAGACAAACAAAGCAAAUAAAAUCCCAGAGCUCGAUGUGGAGAAGCGGAGUGAGCCCCGCGUCCUCCGCAGGGGACCUGGCGCAGCAGCACCUUGCUGUGGUGCCCGUGAAGCUCAGCGAGCCCGUGGAGGCUUCGGCUGGUUGACUUUUCCCACGAAGGUCCAGAGAUUUUGAGUGGAGAUAGCAGAGCAAUCACAGGAAUAUUUCUCCCUGCUCUACUGCAAAGACAGAAAUGGUGAUGCAAAAGGGACAUAAAACAUUAAAAAAAUCCAUGUCAUACUAAAGGGUUUAGCCCCCAACUCCAAUCUGUGUGGAGGGUUUCUACACGUCACCAAGCGAUUCUCUGGACAGCAGCUGGGUGUCCUACAAUUCAACUCAGUUCUGACACUGUUUACCUGGAGAUGGCGUCACAUCCCACAGGGCAAGGGCUCAGUCCUACAAGACUGCGCUCUGUCUGUCCUUUUCAGGCACCAGGUGCAAGUCCAGGUUGUCACCUGUGCUUCUGACCAAACUGCCAUAGAUCAGAGGUGCCCACCACCCCUCUUCGGGGUUGGCUAAUUUGCUAGAGCAGCUCACAGAACUCAGGAAACCAGUGUACUCACCAGAUUACUAGUUUACUGUAACAGGGUUUAACUCUGGAAUAGCCGGAUGGGAGAGCUACAGGACAAGGUCUGGGCAAAGGGCCCUCUCCAGGCGCCCCUCUCCCGGGAGCUCUCUGAAGCCAGGCCGUCAGGGUUUUUACGGAGGCUCCAUUACCUAGGCAUGAUUAACUAAAGCCUUUACCAUUGGCUAUUGAUUCAACCUCCAGCCCCUCUCCCCUCCUGGGGGUGACAAUCAGGUCCAGUCCUUAGGUGCCAUCCAAAAGUCAUCUCAUUAACAUAACAAAAGAACCUUGUGCUCUCGUCACUUAAGAGAUUCCAAGAGUUUUAGGAGCUCUGUCAGAAACAGUGAAUGAAGCCGAAAUAUAUAUGCAUUUCUUAUUAUAAAUCACAGUAUCACACAUACUCAUAAAUUAAAGAAAAAGUCUCCUUUUAAAGUUAAAAAUAGCAAAGGUUCGGAAAGGUAGAGUCACGGGACGUGGAAGAUGGGCUCUGUCAAGUUCCUUUGGAAAUGGGGGCCGAGCGAUCUCCAUGCAUGGCGGCAGACCAGCUUGCCUGAGUGACACGGGUGCUGGGACAGCAGCUCCAGCCAGAGAAGUGGGACUGAAAUAGCUCCACCUGACCACCCAGCGACGGCUAGAUGUGUUCCACUUGCCUGGAGAGGCACCGACUGGAACUGGAGUCUGUCUGACCUCAGUCACGACACCACAGUGGUCACGCCUUCCGGUCCAAGGACUUGCAGCUGCUCAGUUCCUGGGGAGCUCCAGGAUUCAUGUCACCUCAAGGUCACCUGAGGGAUCUGGUUUUUAACUAGGCCUGGGGUCUCCAGAUUUAUUUGUUUGCUUGUUUGUCUGUCUAUUUGAUGGUUUGUUUACUAAUUAUUCACACAAGCUGUGUUAGUUCGUUAUAAAACACAUACAAAAGACAUUUUAAAAGGAUGGAAAAAAAUGUAAUAAACCUUUUUUAAAAUAAACAUUUUAAGGUUCCUGCAAAUUAUGAUGGCCCCAUUCUAUCAUGAACUGAUAUCAGCUAUCAGCUGAGGUUUGCGUUGAUGACCCAGAGUACAAAUCUAUACUUCAAAAAGCUUGAUAGUGUUUAGUAUUUCCGGCAGCUUCUUUGCAGAUCUGAUUAGACUAUCGUUUUUACUUUGUGAUAUGGCUGAAGGAGUAGGGAAAUGUCAGUGCUGCCAUUUUCUUGUUCUUUGCUUGAGCUUGCACUAUUAAUAUUCUAUUCAGUUUGUAAUUUUCUUGGCAGGGAUCUUUUUAAGCCAAGUGUCCAAAUUGUCAGCUGGCAACAUACAAGCUGUAUUAUGCCACAAGACACUGAAAGCCAGUGAAGGAAUGAGGGUCAACCAUUUCCCGGUGUGAAAUUACCAGUUUUCCCUCAGGAUCCCGCCAGCUCUGUUUGUGACCUGUGACUAUCCUACGUAUGGACUAAGUGAGGGCACCAGUGUCAUGAGACACCUGAGGGGCUCCUGUCUGGAUCCAUCUCAAACCAAGUAAAGGCUGGAGGUUCCCCGGAGCACCUGGACGACACAGAAUUAGAAGGACAUCCUUUCCAGGCAUUGAUCUACUCGUCAGUCACCUUCCGUGAAGCUGCAAGUCUUUAGGGUCCCAGUUAAAGUGGGGGGUCCAUUAGAAUCCUCACCUCUGUUGGGUUGUAGGUCUUGCCUGUUACCUCCCAUCCAGCCCCAGGCAUUUGUCAAGAGAACAGCCCAGUUUUGCAGCUGUUUCUUUAGGAUUGGCAAAUGGCCUUGGGGCAAAAUCAAAUUUGAAUAUCAGUCUUUUUCUCUGGGUCUCCUCUUCUAUAUUUUGUCUUUGAAACUCCUCAUGACCUUGUUAACAUUUUGGUGCUUUUAAGAAGGUAUUUUUAAUAUUUUAUCCAGUUCUUUAGGUUUCCUUGGCGGGAAAGUUGGUGCAAAUUUCCUAGUCAUCACUUACUGGGAGUAGACAUUACAAUUUGUGUAUUCAUCAGAGGAAAGGAAGUUUUUCAUAGUCUUCUAUUUCUACUUCAUGUUUAUGAAUUUCUUAGUCUCUGUAAAGCACUUUACAUAUGACAAGGAUGGACUAUAUCCUACAGAACCAAACUUAUUAUGUAGCACUUAUCAAAUCCUUUCAAAGGACCCAAUCUGAUAUGACAUGCAAUAGUUCAUAAGAUAAUUUUAAGUCAUGACUACUUUUGACCUUUGGGAUUCAGUAUGAUAAACUUGUGCCCCACCAACUCAUAAAAAUAUAAUGGCAGAUCCAGUGAUCCAUAGAUAACAUGCAAACAUAACAUCACAUCCUACUAGGGGCACUUGCUCUUCCCACUGAAUGAAAGCCUCUCCCCUUCUCUUGCGUUUUUCAAUGUUUUCUCCACGCUUACCUUCUCAAUGAGGCUUUCCCUAAACACACUAUUUGAAACUGCAAACUCCCCCUCCUUCCCAUGCUUCUUAAUCUCCUCCUGUCCUUCUCUUUUCUCCAUCAUCCUCCACCAUCUUACAUGCUAUAUAUUAUAUAUCUUGGCUCUAUUUAUUACUGCCUCUCUGGUCUUGACAAAUCUGCUUACCCCCUCAACUCCUUGGUUCCUCUAGAUAUAAAAUAGGACUAAGAAAAGCAUCCCACCCUUCUUCAUAUGGAUAUUUCAUAGAUGAGGUGUAGUGAUAGAUCAGAAAGUGAUUCUAAAAAACUGUUUUUUAAAAAAUGAACCAAUGAAAAUUAUGAUAUCUAAAAAAACUUACUGAUGAGGUGUAGUGAUAGAUCAGAAAGUGAUUCUAAAAAACUGUUUUUUAAAAAAUGAACCAAUGAAAAUUAUGAUAUCUAAAAAAACUUACUGAUUGAGCUUGAUAGGAGAAUAGAGAGAACAGGAGAAAAAAAUCAGUGAACUUCAAAAUAGUUCAAUAGAAAUGACCCAAUAUGAAGAACAGAGAAGAGAGAUUGAAAAAAAUGAGCAGACCCUCAGGGAACUGUGGACAAUAUCCAAAGGUCUAAUAUAUGUGCAAUUGGAGUUGCUGAAGGAGAAGAGAGAAAAAUGGGGCAGUAAAGAAUAUUUGAAAAAAAGAAUAGAUGAAAAUUUUACAAAUUUGGAGAAAGGGAUAAAUAUACACAUUUAGGAAGCAGAGUAAACUUCACACAGAGCAGAUUUAAACACACACACACACACACACACACACACACACAUGCACUCCUAGGCAUGUCAGAGUCAAACUGCUAACAACCAAAGUUAAGGAAAAAAAUCUUGAAAGAACCCAAAGGUUGUGCCACAGAUUUGUUCCACACCAACUAAAAUACUGCAGCCAAAAUUUGCUGAACUUCAAGUUCUGGGGGGAAAUUUUCACUGGAGAAGAAAUCACAGCUUUUCACCACGUGGCACAUCCCGUGUCAAGGAGCUCACGGACGGCGAGUGUCAGCCCUCCCCACCUUUGUGCUUCAGGAUCAGUGGCCUGAGGGAUGGAGCAGAGGCACGGUCCAAGAAGCGGCUGGAGGCUGGAGGCGAGGGCCGCACCAGUCGUAGGCCAGGGCUGCACGCCGGGAAGGGACGGUGCCACCCCAGCAGCAUCGCAGCAAGUCUCCCGGCGUCUGCAGCUCUUCCUGUAACCAGAGGCCUUUUCCUGUGUUUGAACUCGCCACCAAUGGCUGUCCUACCAAAGGCCGCCUUCUCGGCACUGACAGCUGCUUCGAACGCCAGUCACUCAGCUCAUCCGCCCAGCUGCGCGCCUCUGCUCACAUCACUCUGAGGCCUCUGGUUUGUCGGCUUCAAAGCACCUCACAAGUGGGGCCUUGCCUCCCUCAGGGUGGGUGUCAAAGGAAGGCAAAGCCUAGCGAGACUCGUGACACCUCUGGAAUUCAGGCUAUAUCUCAUUUCGCAGAAGAAAUCAGGACAAAGAGGAGCCUACUGUCUACUCCCAGGGCCAUGUGAGCAGGAAGUGGAAGGACAGGGGCCAGGUCUGCCCGUGUGUAGUCUGAAGAGGGUCUCCCUCAUCCUUGCAUUUAAAACUGUUUUUCUCAAGGAGUCAGCCUCCUCAAAGGUGCCUCGGCGAUGGUGACAGUUGAGAGGGCAAAGGGAAGGGAAGGGGAAAGAGGAUGUUCCGUGGAUGGAACUCCACCCCCCAGAUGGGGCCUCUUCUUUUCGGUCUCAUUCGUUCACCUGUUCAUCCAACAACGUGUGUUGAGUAACUUGCAAGGUGACCUCCAGACACUGGCGAGACCACCACAAACAGGCGAAGUUGGGGUUCCCCUGAAAAUUAUGUUCUGUGCUCCGUAUUAGUUCCCAAGUAAGACUAUUUUUUGGUAAAAGGGUUCUGGUAACACCUUUUCAUUUUUAAAACAGUAAAAUCUUUCCAAUACCUAGCUUUUGAAGCAUUAACUGGUACUCCUCAAGCACACACACCAAGUGGAGACUUUGCCACUACACAAAGCCGCUUAGCUGCUGAUCUUCCAACGCCUGGUCAUUUAAAAUCUGUCAAGAAAAGACACCCACGAAGAGAACUUUUCCGGACAGCAUCACCUCCACUCGCUGACAAAGACACACAUGAUGUUAGGAUGCACGGAGAGAGCCUGUAAGCAGAAGAGAAGGGCUUUAUGCCACUCUGGAGGAAGACCAUGAAGAGACGAGCUCUACUGAAUUACGCAAGUGAACCUGGAGGAGAAUGCCCACUCACCUCUGGUCUGAUCAUAAAUCUACAGUUGCUUUUUAAUAUAACUUUUGACAUCCCUCACCUCGAAAAUGCCCACCUGCUUAUAUCAGAUAUUUGGAGCUCAGAAUGUAUUUUCCUGUAGAAACAACAAGUUCCUAAGUCAUUAUGUCCACAGGCCUGUCCUUAAGACCCACGAUAUGCUGUAACUAAAUGAUACCACCACCAAUCCACCAAGUCUAGCUGACUUGCCUUAGCAAACUGUCAGCCUGGGUUCUCAGGUGAUGCCUGGAGUACAUUCUCCAGUGCUAGGAGUUCAAAUGCUGAGUCCUGCUCCAUCCCUUAUCUACCCCUGAGCCAGCUUUGAGGAUGCCGCCAGCCUUUCAGUAACAGCCCGGGGAGUGUGCUGGAGGAAGGGGAACUCUGUAGGGUGCAUGUUAAGAGAUUUAGGCAUGGGGAUGCACCUUAGGACAGUGACAGCAAGACAAGCAGGCCAGGAGGGGGGAGUGGAGCAAAGGCAGGUAAGUCCUCACCUUUGGAGGCUCUGGAGGUGGAGAUGGGGGUAGGGACAUGGUGGAAGGUGUUGCCAUUCAAAAGUAAGAAUCUCAUAAGCCAGCUGUUUGUGUGCCAGGCACUGUGUUCAUUCUCCAACAGACCUUUGUCAUACAACAUAUCAGUGCAGCUCUCGAACCUUAUCAUCCCAUGGCCUCUGCAGCACUGACACGUCCACCUGCACCUCCCCAGAGCCCCACUGGCAUGACCAAAUUUAGACCAGACUUUACAGCUUUUCGUUGCUUCUACGCUGGCCCCUCCACAAUCCAUUCUUUGUGCACUGACCAAAAUAGGCUUUCUGAUAACUCCAGUCUGAUCGUGUCCCUCCCUGUGUAAAGUCUUGAAUGAUUUCCCGUCCAUCUUAGGAUCAAGUUCAGAAUCCCAACUCAGACCCGCCAGGCUGCCCCUUGUUUGGGCUGCCGCCUGCCCAUCUUUGCCCGGCGCCUGCCUGCGCCUUCUUCAGGACUCAUUUUCUUAGGAAGACCUUCCCUGACCUUGUGCGCAGAUUUGGUACCUGACUGCAAGCUCUCCUAACUCCCAGAUUUCCUCUUCAGAGCACUGGCCGAAGCUGUUAUUGUUUAGACCUUCGGGUUUGGCUUGGUCAAUGUGUCUCCUUGCCCAGGCAGAAAAAUCCAGAGCACAUUAACCACGCCUGUAAGACACGGUCACAUGGUCAUGAAAUGCUGGCAGGACGAGCCUCUGGGCCAUACGUGGUUAGCUCUUACGUUAUAACACGUGUUGUUCUCCACUUUUAGGGAGCAUUCAUUGAGUUCUGAUUAUGUGACAGCCAGUGUUUGUUUAAACGGCAGGGCAGGUUAGCUUCAUGGUUAAAAAUGAGGGAUCUGAGCCCAAAUUCCCUGGGUUUGGAAUCUUACUAGUCACAUGGUAUUGGGGAAGUACUAUGAUUUCUCUGUGCCUCAGUUUCCCCAUCUAUAUCAAAAGAGGAGGAGGUAAAGGAUAGUCAUAGCAAUGACUUCACGGGGCCACUGUGCCGGUUUAGUGGGUCAUGACACUAGAGUCUCAAGAAGAGGGCCUGUGCGUGAUGAGUAUUUCAAAGACGUCACUCUUCUCCUUCACUCCUAAUCCUAUGAAAAAUAGUGUUAUGGUCUUAUCCCCACCUGUCAAAUGAGGAAACUAGAUGCACGAAACAGACUUUCUUUAAUAUGUUGUUUAAAUAAAUACUUCGUAUCAUCUUUUUAUACUUAAAAAACUGAAAAGGAAGAAAGAAAUGAAUGUUCUCAUGUUUUGAGAGUGGGGACUUGGGGGACAAUGGGGCUUGGCAAGAUGACGGGAAUAAAUCAAAGAAACAGAGAAAGUUUCAGAGUUCCAGGCCCAGGACUCGGCCAUCGAUUCCUCACGGCAGCAUGAUGACACUGAGCCUGUCCGUGAGAAGCCCAGAGGUGGGAGGAGAGGCCCGAUUUCCACAGACUCUGGAAGGGAGAGGAGAGCCGAUGGGGCACGACUCAGAGCGGGGGGCCCAGCAUCUCCGGGUUGUGGCAGGAAGCGGGAACCAUGGAUCCCAAGCUGUUCCGAAGCUCCUCCGGAACUCUUCAAGGGCAUCGCCGACUCCUCAGAUGACAUCCAUUUGAAUUAAACAGAUCUGUGCCAGACGUCCCAUGUGCGAGAAUGCUGGUGCCAAAAGAAACCGAACACAAGGCUUGUGAGUUGCUGGAGUGGACAUCUUGUUGGAGAGAGGUGAGUCCUGCAUCAGACUUUUAAAAAGACAUCUGGCGGGGACACGAAUAUACCUGGCAGCCCAUGCAAAACGCCCCAGAACUAGAAACAACCCCAAUGCCCAUCUUCAGUAACGCAGAUCUCCACGUGGAGGUCGGGUCCCAGCAAGGAGGGGCAAGGCGCCACCACCACGCUCGACAAUAGGGGUGGACCUCACAAAUACAACGCUGCCGAGGCAAAGAAACCCCAAACAAGAAGUACGACCUGAUGCCGUUUGUGG